GCGAGCCGCGGCCGCCCCCUCCCUCCGUCGCAGCCGGCACCACCGCCGCCCCUCCCUCCGUCGCAGCCGGCAGCCACCGCGGCGUGGCCCUCCCCUUCGAAGGCCUGCCUCAUGAAGACCACCCCAUGCCUCCCAGCAGCCGGAGUUCUUCGAUCCUCCCAGUGCAGCCAGCUCAGACGCCGCCCCCUCCUCAUGUGCCAGAUCUCGGUCGACGUGACGACGCCUAACCGAGGAAUUCUCCUCCUCGGCCAAGUCUGCUGCGCCAUCGCUCUCUUCACCGCCUGGAUCGGAGCCGCCAGCCACCACAUCGGGAUCGGAGACAUCGUCAUCCAUCAGGCGUGUAAAACUGGUUUAUGCCAUGAGUCAUGUAUCAUCCGUCAGAGACAUGACAAGCUAUCCAAGAUCUAUGUGGAGGCCUGCACAGACUAAGGCAUAGCCUAGUAGUGGGGAGGGGUUGAUGCCUUCCCACCCACCCGAGUUCGAGUCCUCAUGCUCGCAAUUUCGGUGAUGUUGUAUCCCUGCUAUCAAAAUACCACGUGGCCCCUCCCACGUAGGAAUCAUUUUUAUGUGGAGGCCUGCCGUGCAGAGAAAGGUUCCUAAUUCCCGUCGUAGUGGUGAGCACGUGGUCGUUGCAGUGGUACUUACACGUGUACUACCGAUACGUUGGAUCGCUGACCACACCACCGUGCAUCGAGAACAUCAUCUGAAACAUCCUCAGACAGGUGAGGGAGAUGACGAUGGAGCAGGCCGCCGCCCUGGAUGAAGGCUACAUGCGCAACAACAGGCCGACACAGCAGCUCAACGGCUGCACCGUGCAGCUAUAUCACCGGUUUGGGAGAACAAGACGAACGAGGCCUGAUCGAUGUGCAUCGGUCCUUUGAAGAUGAUGGCACAAAAGUUAUUGCAGUUUCUUUUCUUUUUGGUUUCGUUUCACCAAAAGAUAAUCUGUAGUUGUUAUUUCUGAACUCGUGUUAGGUUCCUAGCAAGAUUUGCUCUGUCAGUUUGAUGUGAUAUAGAUCGAGGGAUUUGGACCUCCAAGAAAUCUCACAUUUUCGUGAUGACCUGAUCAUGUGUGGUUAUGCUUGCUGGAAGUUUACACUUUGAUGUAAUAUUGGUUGAGGGAUUUGGAAGAUCGAUCA